rnacentral:rRNA from 1 species
GUGCAGCAGGCGAGAAUCCUCCGCAAUACACGAAAGUGUGACGGGGCCAUCCCGAGUGCCGUCCGCUGAGGACGGCUUUUCCCCAGUGUACACAGCUGGGGGAAUAAGGAGAGGUCAAGCCUGGUGUCAGCCGCCGCGGGUAAUACCAGCUCUCCGAGUGGUGGGGACGCUUAUUGGGCCUAAAGCGAUCCGUAGCCGGCUGGGCAAGU